rnacentral:misc_RNA from 1 species
UUUCUCCCAUCUCUUGGCCACACUCGUCAAUAACGGGUCCAUUAGAAAGAUCAAAAGCAGCAUCAUUGAGAUCAAGACGAAGAUCACGGGGAAGUUUUUCAAAGUAAUCUCGGGAGAGAUCAAAACUAUCGGCCAGUUUUUGAAGGAGAAGUUGGGGGUCGGGUUCUAAAGACUUGGGGGAGUCCGAUUCGGCGAGAGCAAAGGAAAGAGUGAGGGGUUUGAGUGGAAAAG